ACAAGCUUUCAAUUUACAGUCUUUAUUUAAAUUACUGUCAAAUAUAAAUUGUGCAUAUAUAUUAGUUUAGAACUACGUUUGAGUAUAAACCUUAGGACAGUUAAACUAUAUAUAUAUAUAUAUAUAUAUAUAUUAUAGGAAUAUGACCUAGGAUUGAGAAUGUCUUCCCGGUGAAGGCUCUUUCCUAAUUAGAGAUCUGUAGUUCAAACCCCCAAGAUGAAUUAUUCCCAGUGAAACAUCUUGGCAAAAACCUUAGAAUCCAAAAAUAUAGGACACAUCCACCCAAAGAGGAAUUAUUCCCGGUGAAACCUCUUACCCAUUUGCUUAGAGCCAAAAUAAGUUCAAAACUACAUAGCUUUCUCUUGUGCUAUAACAAGGACCCUCGAUUAGCCUCCUCUUGGGCUUUGUACAAGGACCCACAGGCUUCUUAAAAGCAUUUCCAGCUUCCUCUUGAGCUUGUAUACAAGGACCCAUCAGGUUUCUUAUAAACAUAGGAACAGGUCUUUAGUCACCUUUUAGCCUACCCUGGUGAGUUUUCUUCCAAUUUAAACCAGACUUUUAACAAGCCAAGUUUAUCUCAAUUUUGCAUUGAGUACACCUUUUGGAAUGAGAGACAUGGACAGUCUCUGUCACCCUUAUCUUCAUCAAUCUUCCUUAGCAGAGUCUAGGAUCCAUAUUUGCUUAUCCUCAACAUGAGUCAGCCUUCAUCUUGGGCUUUAAACAAGAAGUCUCCACUAGAUAAUCUUUCUGCCAUUCACCAAAAGAGUCAAAACCCCUGGAAAGGGUUAGCCUCCAAAUCAAUCCAUCAUUUCAAUAAAAACCCAUGGAAAGGGUUAGCCUCCAAAGUCAAUUAAUCAAAAAGAGUCACGACCCCUGGAAAGGGUCAGCCUCCAAAAAACAUGAUAAAGUCAGUCUUUUAACAGACAAUUUCUCCAGCUAAGUCAAAACCCCUGGAAAGGGUUAGCCUCCAAAAUCAGUCUUUCAAAAAUCAAAGAUUCAUUCUCUUAGGAGAUAAUCUCCCCAAAUAGAGUCUCCCUAAGUAGAGUCAGCCUCAAUUCUGGGCUUCGUACAGAACACCAAAAAAUCCUUAGUUUAAAUACUCCCCAGUAGAGUUAUCAUUUCAAUAAAUCAAUAAAAUCAAUCAAAAAGCCUCAAGCUUGGGCCUCAUUCAAGCCAGCUAAAGUCAAAUCUUUCAUAUAGUAAAUAGACAUAGCUUAUCUCUAUAGAGAGAUAUUUUUACUACUCUACCACAUUCAAACAAACAAACAUUUCAAUUUCAAUUUCAUUCAAUGUCUCCCAUUUAGGACUCUGAAAGACAUGCUCUGGCACAUCCCCAGACUUGUACACUUUCCCUAAUUUGGAUGAGCAUCUUUCUUUCAUUUUAGAGGCACGAUGGCUGUCAUACUUGAUCAACCAAGUAGACUCCCCUCUUAAUGAAACAUCAUUUUUUUUAGCUUUUCUGUCACUUUUAAAUGUUUGUGGUAGAAUAGUACAAAUACCUCUCUGUAAAGAUGAUUUCAUGUCUCUUUACUGUAAACAGAGAUUUAAUUCCAAGCUUCAACCUUGAGCUUCAAGCAAGGCACCAAAAACAAGUAAUUUCCCUAGUUAGUUCCCCGAACUACAUUAAGCUCUGACUUCCACUAGGGAUAUGUAGGCAUGAGGUUCACAAGGAAUCUCAGCGAGCUAAUAAAAUACCAAAAAUAGUCAGUCUGUCUAUCUGUCUGUCUUUCUUUAAUCAAUUCAAUUCUCUCUCCUAACACAAAGGAGAAACUUUCCCAAUCAUUAGCAGCAAACACAAUCACAAUGACACAGAGAAGGUUCCUGUAGAGUACUACAGAUAUGUAGGGUGUUUAAACACUUCCCUAUGUAUAACCGACCCCCCGGACUCCAGAAUUUCUAGUCUAGGUGAAAUCCCCACACUUAGCAAACUCCUAGGGUUUAGUUGAGAUCUUUUUUUCCCUUUCCUACUCGUAGGACCAAUAAGAAAGUUCGUGUGAUAUCGUAGGAAGAACUGAAACAAAAUUCAUCCCACCACGGGCGCAUUCUCCUUCCAAAUUUCGCGUGAAGGGUUUAGCGUGCCGUCCUCCCAAGUGAAACGGGGAGGUAAAGAAAACGACACCACAACACCUACUGAGGUCGGAGUUGAUCUCCUUAAAGGAUCCCCCUAAGAAUCCUAGUACUUCUGCUCGUAGCUAUGAUCCUAAUGUGAGGUGUGCAUACCACUCUGAUAGUCCUGGUCAUGAUACAAAUAGCUGCUGGUCAUUGAAGAACAAGAUUCAAGACAUGAUCGAUGCUGGAGAAAUUGAAUUCCCUCAUCCCAAGACUCCUGUGAUGAUCACCGCUCCUAUGCCUAGUCAUGACAAGACUGAUUGACGUCUAGACGGACGAACUUUUGGAUCAUUAGUUCUACUUUCGUUUGCAAGUCCUUAUUCUGUUUGUUUAAACAUUUGAAUCAUGAUAGACAUUAUCUGUUUUAAUAAUCAUCAUCAGUGCAUUGCAUAUUCUUGUCUUGAAUAAAUUAUUUCGUUAUCACUCAUUUAAACUGCAUCUUUACUUUGCAUAUGUUUUAUGAUACUUAACUCCUGCUAAAGCUGUAUACCUUUUGAGGGAGAAUGACAAAAACGAUACCGCAACCUCAUACGGUAUGCUUUUGAGCGGACUAUGCUGACGAUGUACAGGCAUUGUUUCAAUUCCUAAACAGUGGAGAUAUAAGGAUGUUAAUCCCUCGUCAACUCCUUUGAGCCUAAGAAGUAGAAGUUUCUUUCUUGUAAAAAUUAAAACCCUUGAUCAUAACCUGGGGCAGGGUAGUUCUCAGUUAAUUUGGUUGUGCAUUCUAUUUUAAGAGAACCAUUCAGUACACCUUUCAACGAAGGUUUCAAUCACAAGCGUUCAUCCGCACACAUCAAAGAAGUGUUGGAGAUGUCGAUCAAAAGCCAAUGAUGGUUCAUCAAUCAUUAAGCAAGGCAGUCAAUAUCCUUUCAAACAAAAAAAAUGAAAAAACAUAUACAAAGCAUGCUAAGUCAAAAAUCAAAAGAACAAAAAUCAAGGCAUCCCGUUAGCUCAAGAUAGACAGUUCAGGCAAAAGUUAGGGAUAUCAAAAAGAUGAAAAAAGAGAAGUCAAUAAAUUCCUGAACAACACAAUGAUGUGACUACCAAAAGGAAGAAGUGACUGCCAUCUCAAAAUUUCUAUUUGCUUGAGAACCAUCAUCGUUAUCAAAAGUGAAAAUCCAAAAGUCUCUUGGAAACUGAAUGCAAGUUAAAUUAACUGAGCUUAGGAUCGAAGAUCAUCACGAAGAGGGGUGGGUACAAUCAAAUUUUGAGCCGUUAUCCUUUGUUUCUUAGACCGUGAUCCGAGCCACGUUACAACCCUUAAAAGUCCUAACUGAAGCAUGGUUAGUUCGAAAGCAUACUGUCAUCAAAAAGGUAUCCCGACUCCUUAAGGUUCACCACAAAUGCCGAGUUGGUAUCUCGUCUUUUACAAAACAUCACGUUUUUACAAAAAUCAUGUUUGUAUCGCGCUUUUACAUCUCCUGUUUAAUGUUUUUCCAAAAAACUCAAGACAAACGUAUGCAUUGCAUCUCAUGAAUUCAUUAUUAAACAUAUUUUUCUACAUAAUUUCGAAUGUUAGUAUCAGGAAGAAUUUGCACAUGGUACAACUAAUGACUAAAAGUUAUCCCGACAGACAAAAUCACUUCAGAAGCAAUGUCUCUUAUGUGUACAAGGGGGCAUGACAUGGUUUAUCCAGUCAAUCUGGGGUAAUUAAGUCAAGAUUCCGAGAAUCUCUCAAAUGCCAACACAAUCAGGGGCAUACACCCAAGUGGGUCUGAAGCUACUUCCCAAUCAGUCAGAGGCAUCAUACUAGUUACUAGGGGCAUGACGCCCAUAGUGCACAUCUCAUCAAGUCCUCGCGAGGCGAAUCUUUCCAAAAGUCCCUACUAGCAGGGGCAAAUCUAUGCAAGUCCAGUUUGACAUCUUAAUCAAUACUCAGUGGUGUGUCCUAAUCAAUAUAAAUCACUGGGGGCAAUAUUCAAAGCAUUCAUGCCUUUCCACAAAGCCGGUUACACAGGAUCAUAUCCCCCACAGAGUAAUCAUUAAGAAGAUAUCUUCAAAUGCUCUCGUCCCGACAAAGACAUGGCUCCCCAACAAAGUUUACAUCUUCAACACUACCGGUUCUCCAACACUUUUCUCUUCUCCAACAUGGUGUAUUAAUAUCUCUAAUCCCCAAUCAGGGUACAUCAAGUUACUGAUCGUCCCCAAGCAGAAAUCAUAAAUCCCCAGCUGAGCACCUUCAAGAUAAGAUCGGACAGUAAAAUCACAAGGAUACAGAGAUUUAUUUUCUCAAUCGAGACAACAAAAAAUCAUAUUCACAUAUCACAUGUCAUAAACAUAUUCAUACAAUUGCAUACACAUUCAUACAUAAUACAUAAAGCAUCGCGAAAAGUGCGUACAUAACAUGCGAGGUUCUCAUUUAUUUUGAGAAUCCUGUCACAUAAACGCAUUACAUGCAUCAUGACAUGGCAUAAAGAAAACUAACUUUACCUUCUUUAGGUUACUACUGCAGUCAAAAUAAACAUUAUCUAUCUUCAGAUCUAAGUCGAUACCUUUGACGGUUCCUUAAUGAUCUAACUUUGGAGUUAAGUUGAUACCUUGGACGGUUCCUUAAUGAUCCACCUUCAGAGUUAAGUCGAUACCUUGGACGGUUCCUUAACAAUCUACCUUCAGAGUUAAGUCGAUACCUUUGAUGGUUCCUUAAUGAUCUACCUUUGGAGUUAAGUCGAUACCUUGGACGGUUCCUUAAUGAUCCGCCUUCAGAGUUAAGUCGAUACCUUGGACGGUUCCUUAACAAUCUACAUUUAGGUCUAAGUCGAUACCUUGGACGGUUCCUUAAUGAUCUACCUGGGGAGUUAAGUCGAUACCUUGGACGGUUCCUUAAUGAUCCACCUUCAGAGUUAAGUCGAUACCUUGGACGGUUCCUUAACAAUCUACCUUUAGAUCUAAGUCGAUACCUUGGACGGUUCCUUAAUGAUCUACCUGGGGAGUUAAGUCGAUACCUUGGACGGUUCCUUAAUGAUCCACCUUCAGAGUUAAGUCGAUACCUUGGACGGUUCCUUAACAAUCUACCUUUAGAUCUAAGUCGAUACCUUGGACGGUUCCUUAACGAUCUACCUUCAGAUCAACUUUUCAAAAUCUAAAAGCAGUUCCGUAACGAUCAACAUUCAAAUAACUACUUCUCAAAACACUUCAUACUCACAACACCGGAUGGCAUCUUCAAGCCCAUUUCCGACAAAGGUCCCUACUUCAGCUAGGGCAAAUUUCUUGGUAUUCUAGUGUUCAAUCAUCUUCCACCUUCAGAUACCGACUGGCAUACAAACCACUCUACAUCUUCAGGUUUAAGACAAUUGAACAGGGGCAGCUGUCAUACCCCAAAAUUUGCCCUCAUAUUUUUACAAACGCCAUUUUAUUUAGAAUAAAUGAAUUGACGUACUUGGUAAGAAUUUGAGCGUGAAAGAUACAAUAGCGCGAGAUCCCGUGUUCGAGUCUCACUACUAACAGUUUUCUUUAUUAUUAUUAUUAUUAUUAUUAUUUUUUUGUUACUAACUUAAUUUCCGUUUUAAAUGACUUUUUCUUAAAAUCACAAAAAAAUUGUUCUUUAUUAUUUGAAAUUAAUUUUCAUAGUUUUUUUACUUUUUCCAAAAAAAUAAAAUAAAAAAGAUUUUAAAUUCUACACAUUUUUUACAUUUUAGGUUAGUUUUUUUUAUUAGUUAAAUAUAAUCAUAAAAAACUCAUUUAAGAUAAUUCUUUUUGUUUGGGCUUUUGGUUAUUUUUUAAUUAAUUAUGGUCCAUUAAAUUUAACCUAAUUUUGUAUAUUAUAAAUAGGAACAAGACCCUGACUUUCACGGGAUUCACGUACAAUUUCACCACUGUACAUACACAACAAACCCAUAUACUUUCAUCCUCAUACCACCAAUUGAAUCCUUAUUUUCACGUCACUGAUAUUCAUGUGCAAAGCUUGCACCCUUUUGUUCUGCACACCAUCAUUUUAAUAUUUUUACACUAUACACUCACAUAUAAUUUUUUACACUGUAAAUACCAAGAUUAACAAUUAACAAAAUUUUUCACACUUUGUUACUCAUACAAUUUUUGUUUUUUUCUCAUAUUUUUAGUCAUCUCUCAUGUAUUCAAACUACACAAAAUCCAUACUAAUUACUACAAAUCCUUACAUAUUCUAACGAUUUGCAUCAAGGUUUUUUUUUGCAGCCAACUACACAGUAGAACCGAUGAUGAUGAAGAAAGUUGUUCACAACUGAGAACCUUCGGCGAAACUCCAGCAACCGCACGGCCGCGAAACACCGUUUCCGCCGGGAUCCACCACUCUCAGCCACCGUCAAAUCGCGGUGAAGCCCAGCCAUCGGAAGCACCUCCGACGAUACCCGAUCCGCUUCGUCGAUCUGCAUCAAACGUAUGUGUUCCAUCUCUUCCGCCGCUUCAGCCGCCGUCGACGACAUCCCGUCGGAUCUAUCUUCAAAUCCGUCACUUGUACUACCAUCAUGAGCAUUGGACUGUUUUGCAGACAUGCAUAGCUUGUGCAUGCAUGGAUUGAUCCAACGCUUUCCAUGGUGAACCUUAAAGAUUCGACCACACCUGAUUAUAGCAUUCAGGUCACAACAAGUUUUCUUAAUAAACCUUAGGGGUUUAUUGUUAGGGUUGGCAUUUCCCUUUCUCUUCUUCGUGCCAAAUUUUCAGGGUUAAACAAAAUCCUCCGACCACGCGCCACGCCCUUCUAAAAGCUAAGUAUUUAAAAGUCUAUUUUGUUUCCUUUUGAUUUUAGGGUUUGCCCUUAUAUUUUUGAACUGUGCAUACAUUCACUCCAUCUAUUUUUCUGCCUUUGCCAAUUUUUCAGGGUUAAUCCCGAGGUUUCCUCCGACUGCCAACCAUAUCAGAUCAAAUGCAAAGCUAAGUGCUUUUCUUUGUUUAUUUAAUUAUUUUUAAACUCUUUAUCCUUUUAUUUUUAGGGUUAACCUCGUUUGCCUCCGAACCGAUAAUGCACUCACCCUUCUUUGUUUAUUCUUUCGUUUCCAAUUUUCAGGGUUUGUCAAAUUGCCAAAGUUACGCGUAUCGGUAACACUAAACCCUGUCCUCAAUUAUUACUUGUGUUAAACCCUUUGUUUUAAUUAUAUCCCGCUGGUUUCAAUUUCCCUCUCCUCCGCUGGUUAAAAUUUCCCUUCCCCGUUAUUACUGUUUAUAUUAAACUGUGUGGUUAGUAAUUCUAGGGAGUGCAACUUAUUAAUUGAAUUAGCAUCACGUAAUUUUACAAGAUAACAUAACUGAACAUGAUCACGUGAUUGUUGCACCCACGCACACUUUUGGGGUAACCUCUCUGUUGCCUCGUUGCCUGUUGCCUUGUGUUUUUUUGCAGAAUAGUCAGUCCCUCGAAUACGAGGAUACCUCAGCCAUGUUGCCUCGAUAAAUAAAGGUCAUACGACCCUAAUGAUGCUGCCUUCGAUACACUAAUAUGACCUCGACCCUCGGAAGUUGCCUACGAAAAAGGCUGAGGUAUCCUCUGGCUGCCUACGAAAAAGGCUAUUCUGAUCCUUCCCUUAGACUACCUGCCUCUCUAUGGCAUGGGUCAGUCUUGUGGCGAAUGAUAACUCGAUGACCCGUUUACCUCCAAAUGAAAGGCUUCCUGCCCUCUAUGGCAUGGAUAGACCCUUUCACCCUGAAAGGCUAAAAGAACUCUUUUUUUCAAAUUAUAAGGUAAUUGCCCCUAAUUGCCUUGCUCUGGCUAAAAUGUCUUUUAUCAACUUUUUCUUUUCUAAACACUUUCAAGGCUACACUCAUUUACGAGAUAAAGUCCUUGUUUCUUCAUCUUCUAUACAUUUCUAAACUUUUGGUUUCAAAACGAGCAAAGCAGUUAAGAGCCCAUGGAAAACCAUGGAUGCAAAGGGUGCCUUACACCUUCCAUUUGCAUAAUUACCCCUCGAACCCUAUUUUAUUUAAAAGGUUUUUCCUGUUCUUUUAGCCUUUCUAAUUAAUUUGGAUAAAAUAAAAGUCGGUGGCGACUCUUGCUUACCGCAACAUUUCUUUAAAG